rnacentral:lncRNA from 1 species
UAGAGCCUGUUCUAAAGGAGAAAGUCAAGCCACCAAGGAAAGAUGUUGAAUUGGCAAAAGCAAAAGCCAAACCGGCUCCACCAUUAAAAGGUGAGCGACCCAGGUAAUUCUGUUGUAAAGUAUUGUUCAUUUUUGCAUUUCAUACUUACUAUUUACUUUGUCUAAUUAAAAUAGCAGAAGCUGGCAUUCCAAAGGACAAAGCUAAACCUAAAAAAGGUAUUUAUUUACCAAUGUAUCUUAAUAGUGAGUAUUAGACCUUACAUCAGUUUUAAUUAUGUAUAUAAUCACCAUAAUAUUUCCUGAUCCAGCUGCUGAGAAGGACAAAGAAAAGCCAGAGCCCACUCCAUCACCAAAGGGUGAGAAAUUAAAGCCAAAUGCUGCAACUCAAGGGUCAACUCUUAGCCCACUUUAAUUUCCUGCAAACAUACUAUUUUUAUAUGCUUUAUGUCAAUAUGAAUAAAUAAACACAUGAUCAAUAGACGUUCCUCAACCACACCACUAUUAUGUUGGGUAAUUAUUGCAUGUUUUAAGUUAAAGAGGACAAAAAAAAAAGAAAGGUAUACGACCUCUUGUGACAUAAAAAGCAAAUGAACACAUUGAACAAUUCAGUAACAUGAUUAAAUUUGGUUUGCUUGUGCACAACUGCAAUUCAAUAACGACUUCUUAACUUUGGUCUUUAUCACAGAAUUAGGUGUGAAGAAGGAAAAAGUCCCAGCUGCACCAACAGCAAAAAAGCCAGAUGUUCCCAAGACUGAAGCCAAACAACCAAAGAAAGCACCAGGAGCGGUUUUGAAAGAAAGACUGAAACUGACAAGAGGUAAAGCAGACAUUCACCUCAAAGCAGAGCUUGAAGGUCUGAAAAAUCUUACAAAGCCUAUUCCAAAGAAAGAACACAUUGUAAAGGAAAGGAAGAAGCUGGUGGAGAAAGCAACUCCAGAGGCACCAAAAGAAGUGAAACCUGUGCCAGAGACAGAAGAGCCUGAAGUUUCACAGGAGACCACUGCACCUCUGGAGAAAGUUGUUCAUAUAGAAUCUGUAACACCAGUGGACGUCACAGAACCAGCGCCUACAAAACCAGGUGAACCACCGCUGUUGGAGGAGUUUGGUGCAGAAGAAGAUGACCUGCCCUACUUCCAGUGCUUCUUUGUGGAUGAAGAUGACACCCACUAUCCUUUCUUCCCUUUCUCACCGAUCCAAAUGUGAGAACCCUGUCCUCCCUACCACUGACUCAAACAAACAGUGACCUCACCUGGCAGUGUGGUGCGUCAGCAAGUGUCCUGUGGCGAGGUACAAGGACUUCGAGCUCCGCAGGUGAUUAAUGUCAUCGUCCCUGCAGGGCUUUAUAUAGAACACAAAAGCAGGAAUUUUUUUCUGCCUAUAUGUGAGCAAUUCUGUCUUGUGACAGUGUCCUAGAUAAAAAUUAUUACAUCAGAUGGCAGCAUGAGCUGCAUUUCUGUUUUACUUUUAGAGUACAGAGACACCAUAUUAAAAACUUGAGUUUGGUGAUAUGUGCGUCACAAGACCCUUCACAUCUGAUGCGGUUCUUGUGCAUUUUGGCUCUGUUUAACAUCCAAGAAAACAGACGUUCUAAUGACCUUACUACCAGUAUGCCACGAGGCCACCAGAAUGCUGGCUAGUGGCAGUACGGCAAUGUUGCUGUGACAGUGGACAGUAAACAAUGUCUCCUCAUUUUGCUAGGAUGCAUUCCAAUGCAUUGUCUUAUUUCUGAAAAAUGAGGAGAAUGAGAAAUUUUACUUCAUAUCACCUGUCUGUGUGGUCUAAAGUCCACAUAAGACUUAAUGACCAAAAUGUUAUUAUAAAACUAUAGUAAGGAAUAUAAUAGCAAUAACAACAACAACAAUAAUAAUAAUGACAACGAUAUCGUAUACUAACUAAAAUUAUUUUUAAUAUAUUUUAUAUAAGAAAAAUAUUAAAUACAUAACAUAAUAAUACAUACAUAUAAUACAUAACAUAUAAUACAUUACUAUUGUAUUUCAUACUAUAUAUACAGUACAGGCCAAAAGUUUGGACACACCUUCUCAUUCAAUGUGUUUUAUUUAUUUUCAUGACCAUUUACGUUGGUAGAUUCUCACUGAAGGCAUCAAAACUAUGAAUGAACACAUGUGGAGUUAUGUACUUAACAAAAACUGGAGACCUGACCUCCACAGUCACCGGACCUGAACCCAAUCCAGAUGGUUUGGGGUGAGCUGGACCGCAGAGUGAAGGCAAAGGGGCCAACAAGUGCUAAACACCUCUGGGAACUCCUUCAAGACUGUUGGAAAAGCAUUUCAGGUGACGACCUCUUGAAGCUCAUUGAGAGAGCAAGAGUGUGCAAAGCAGUAAUCAGAGCAAAGAAACUAGAAUAUAAAACAUGUUUUCACUUAUUUCACCUUUUACAUAACUCCACAUGUGUUCAUUCAUAGUUUUUAUGCCUUUAGUGAGAAUCUACCAUUGUAAAUGGUCAUGAAAAUAAAGAAAACGCAUUGAAUGAGAAGGUGUGUCCA